AUGGCCUCCAUCCCGUGCACCAUCCAGCUCGCGACCAAGGCGGCGUCCUCGUCUUCCGGGUGGAGGUCGCCGCGGGCGGUGGGGGGAGUGCUGAGGACCCCGCAGCUGGGCGGCGGCGCAGCGUGGCUGCGGCCGUCGCUGUUGAGCAAGGUGGCGCCGGCGAGGGAGAGCGGCAGAGUGAGGUUCUUCAAGUUCGGGAACAAGGACGCUGAGGGCGCCGGCAUCUACGGCAGCCAGGCGAGGGACGACUUCGACCGCGACGACGUCGAGCAGUACUUCAACUACAUGGGGAUGCUGGCGGUGGAGGGCACCUACGACAAGAUGGAGGCGCUGCUGAACCAGAGCAUCCACCCGGUGGACAUCCUGCUGAUUCUGGCCGCCUCCGAGGGCGACUUGCCCAAGAUCGAGGAGCUGCUCAAGGCCGGCGCCAAGUACGACGUCAAGGAUGCCGACGGGAGGACGGCGCUGGACCGGGCUAGCGGCGAGGUCAGGGAGUUCAUCACCGGCUUCGCCGUGGCCAAGAAGGCAUGA
rnacentral:rRNA from 1 species